CGGAAUUGGUAGACGCACUGGAUUUAGGUUCCAGCGCCGCAAGGCGUGAGAGUUCGAGUCUCUCCUUUCGCACCA
rnacentral:tRNA from 1 species